rnacentral:rRNA from 1 species
GCUUGUCUCAAAGAUUAAGCCAUGCAUGUCUAAGUAUAAACUGCUUAUACUGUGAAACUGCGAAUGGCUCAUUAAAUCAGUUAUAGUUUAUUUGAUGGUACCUACUACUCGGAUAACCGUAGUAAUUCUAGAGCUAAUACGUGCGCACAACCCGACUUCUGGAAGGGUCGUAUUUAUUAGAUAAAAGGCCAGCCGGGCUUUGCCCGACCUGCGGUGAAUCAUGAUAACUUCACGAAUCGUAUGGCCUUGUGCCGACGAUGUUUCAUUCAAAUUUCUGCCCUAUCAACUUUCGAUGGUAGUCGCCGUGCCUACCAUGGUGACCACGGGUGACGGGGAAUCAGGGUUCGAUUCCGGAGAGGGAGCCUGAGAAACGGCUACCACAUCCAAGGAAGGCAGCAGG